CUACGGGGCGCAGCAGUAGGGAAUAUUGCACAAUGGGCGAAAGCCUGAUGCAGCAACGCCGCGUGCGCGAUGAAGGCCUUCGGGUUGUAAAGCGCUUUUCUGAGGGAAGAGGAAGGACUGUACCUCAGGAAUAAGUCUCGGCUAACUACGUGCCAGCAGCCGCGGUAACACGUAGGAGGCAAGCGUUAUCCGGAUUUACUGGGCGUAAAGCGCGUGUAGGCGGUUUGGCAAGUCGGAUGUGAAAGCCCCUGGCUCAACUGGGAGAGGUCGUUCGAAACUGCCAGACUAGAGGUCGGUAGAGGAAGAUGGAAUUCCCGGUGUAGUAGUGAAAUGCGUAGAUAUCGGGAGGAACACCAGUGGCGAAGGCGGUCUUCUGGGCCGUUCCUGACGCUGAGACGCGAAAGCAUGGGUAGCGAACGGGAUUAGAUACCCCAGUAGUC
rnacentral:rRNA from 1 species